rnacentral:snRNA from 1 species
AUUGCUUGUCCCUCUUUUGGCUAAGAUCGAGUAUAGUAUCUAUUCUUAUCAGUUUAACAUCUGAUUCAUCCUCCACCCAAAGACAAUGUAUGAAAGGGAUUUUGGGGAGAUGGAACAGGAGCUUGCUCCGUGCACUCCACGCAUGGACUUGGUGUUGCAGUACCUCCAGCAACAGUGCACUCCUU